GAUAAAGUUUCACUCACAAAUAAUAGUAUUCACCUUUUACAUCAAAUAAAUCAAAUAAAUCAUAACUGCAAAUUAGAUAAUAGUCAUCAUCUUGUCAACCUUUUUUCUUCUUUUUGUGAAUGGAGCCUAGAGCAGCCACAUGGGAGGAGGGAGGCAGGGAUGGAAAUUGUCUUUGGUGUGACCAAUAUCUUUGUGUGUGUGAGUGUGCACAUGUAAAUGUAUUAUAUAUA
rnacentral:lncRNA from 1 species